UACGGAGGGUGCAAGCGUUAUCCGGAUUCACUGGGUUUAAAGGGCGCGUAGGCGGCAAUUCAAGUCAUCUGUGAAAUCUCCGGGCUUAACUCGGAACGGUCAGAUGAUACUGUCUUGCUAGAGUGCAGAAGGGGCAAUCGGAAUUCUUGGUGUAGCGGUGAAAUGCGUAGAUAUCAAGAGGAACACCUGAGGUGAAGACGGGUUGCUGGGCUGACACUGACGCUGAGGCGCGAAAGCCAGGGGAGCAAACGGG
rnacentral:rRNA from 1 species